rnacentral:antisense_RNA from 1 species
GUGAGGAGGAUGCCACUGGGCAGCUUCUCU